rnacentral:rRNA from 1 species
CAGCAGCCACGGGAAUACGUAGGGUGCGAGCGUUAAUCGGAAUUACUGGGCGUAAAGCGUGCGCAGGCGGUUGUGUAAGACAGGUGUGAAAUCCCCGGGCUUAACCUGGGAACUGCGCUUGUGACUGCACAGCUAGAGUAUGGCAGAGGGGGGUGGAAUUCCACGUGUAGCAGUGAAAUGCGUAGAGAUGUGGAGGAACACCGAUGGCGAAGGCAGCCCCCUGGGCCAAUACUGACGCUCAUGCACGAAAGCGUGGGGAGCAAACAGGAUUAGAUACCCGUGUAGUCCCUGUCUCUUAUAC